rnacentral:misc_RNA from 1 species
AACCAUAGAAACCUGCGGAGUACCUGCGGAAGGAUCAUUACCGAGUUAUACAACUCAUCAACCCCUGUGAACUUACCUACAACGUUGCUUCGGCGGGAACAGACGGCCCCGUAAAACGGGCCGCCCCCGCCAGAGGACCCCUAACUCUGUUUUUAUAACGUUUUUCUGAGUAAACAAGCAAAUAAAUUAAAACUUUCAACAAUGGAUCU